AUGCUAGUUUUAGAACCGACAUUUUCAUUUGCAGAACGCACACUGUUCCUAUCUCUAUGGUCAAUACCUCGUCCAACCCCUUUCUCUCCAGGCGUCGCGCGCAGACGGCAAACCGGGCGCCGCCCAUCUUUGUUAUGGGGAAAAUGUUUCCACCGCCAAGUCUAUCGAAGGGAGGGAGGGGAAAGAGAACGUCUGCCCCGCCAUCUUUGUCAUGGGCAACGCAAGGCUAGGUCCUGCGUGAGCGCACGCCCAAGUUGUGGCCCGGCAAAGAGGAGGAGGAGGAGGGAAGAAAGCCGCCGAAGGAAGUGGGAGGUGUCUCCUCUUCCUUGUCCUCCAUCUCUCGAUGCCUUCAGCUGCGCCGUAGCUUUUCGCGGAUUUGCCUUAGGAGACAGGAAAGAAAUAAUGUAAUGGAGACGGAAGAGGCCUAAAGGCUAUCUAGUCGGACCCCCUGCUCAAUGGAGGAAUCAAAGAUGCCCCCCAUUGUUUGUGGGUUUUUUUUAAACUGGCACAAAUUUGUUCAUACACUUGAAUUGCUUUGAAGGAUCGCUCCAGUUACAGAGGAAGAUGUAGAACUCCAUGCAGUGCAAACCAAAUGAGGGAAAGGAGAGCAAGGGGGGGGGAUACUAAUUUAGUAUUUGGGUAUGUUAUAUUAGAUAACAUACCCUGUUUCCCUGAAAAUAAGCCCUAGAAUGCAGGUUUUGGUUCCCACUUUUUAUGUCACAGACCUUUUCUCAGACUUUGAUUCCACAUCUAAGUCAUUGGCUCUGCUUUGAUUUAUGCUACAGUCUUGUUGUAAAUGCUUCUGAGGUGGUUUUAGUAUUUCAUAAUAGAAUCAUGUCUCACAAAUACUUCUAAACAUACUGUACUGUGAGUUGGAAUCUGUUGAAGACAAUGAACAUAUCUUCAUAAAAUACCCUGAAAAUAAUGCACAAAGCCUUAUGAACCUAGCAGUUUUUAGGUCCUAUCAUCCUGAAUCUUACUCCACCUUCUUUCUCUGGGAAGGGUAUACAGGAAAGAGAAAUGACAUUUGCCAAAAUGUGAAGAACUUGUCAAUCCUGCAGGUUGGAUUUGUAAUGUUACACAUAUUACGCUGUUGGUGUUUUUAUAGUAAUUGGGGUUAAGUUAAGUAUCACUGAGUUUGUGAUAUUAUCAAAGACAAAGACACUUUCAAAAACUAUUACCAGACAUCAUUCAGCAACUCUAAUAAUAUGAAGGCAACAGUUUCUGUGUCAAGGAAGGGUUUGCAGUUCACAUUGAAUACUUUGUUGGAGCUUUGCAGUUACAAACCUCUGAGGAAAAGGAUUAACCUUGAAAAGUGUAACUUCAGUGUUUGUGCUGUGCUAACUUUGAGGUGGAAUAUACUUUACAUACCUUGAAAAUCCUACUCAUAGUUUGAGCAUAGGGAGUGUUGUGCUGGAUCAGAUCAAUAUCUUCUCUAUUCUCUUGUCCUGUUUCUUCAUUGAGCAACCAGAUGCUUAUGGGAAAUCCAUAAGCAAUACAGUGUUCUUCUGGUCACAUUCCUUAGCAAUAAACAGAGAUAUUGCUAUCA
rnacentral:lncRNA from 1 species